UGAAACUUGAGAAGAUGUGAACUGAUUCAGGCAGGUCUGCUGCUGGAUGAGGCCUCCAGGGAGGCGCUGGUGUGAUGCGGAGGAGCACUGUGUGUGCUGGCCCGCACCUUCUCUGCCCCGUGGAGCUUGGAGCCAGGAGAAUGGUUUGCCAGGAAAUUUCCAGAACCUUUGGAAUUCUUCUCCAUGUGCAUCCUUAAAUACAGCGGGGUACCCACGGGGCAGUUGUGUGAAUGGUAAGCAAGCGCUUGCAGACCAUGUGAAGAUUUCCCUUUGAGAUCAUUGUGUACAUAGUUAAGGAUUUCACGAGCCCACUGGAAUGCGUAGAGGCUCGCUUUUUUCAUGAUAAAGCCUUGAAGAAGUGCUCUUGGAAAAUGCCAGCACAGAUUAGAGCAAGGGGGCUUAGCGUUUGCACAACUGCGGAGGAUUUCAAAGCAGCUAGGCAUAUGCCUUCCCUCAAAAGAUGGGUCACAGCAUGGUUUCUGAAAGCUCUGCUCGCUGCUUGCUCCAUCCCUGGGUCCUCCCAGGUCUGCUGGGUGCCGCUUCCCAGCUCCUGGCACAGCAUGAACCCACCAUCCAUGCUCGCAGCGUUGGGUCUGUGUGUGCUCAGAGCCCCGUGAGUACGCGUGUAUCACACCUAGCCUACCCCAAAAGCUCUGCCUGGCCACCUUCCUGCUCUCCUUGGCUGCCCAUGCUCUUAUUUCAGGGUGGUCCUGCCCCUGCCAGGAGAUUCCAACUGCUCCGUGCUGAAGAAGCCAUCAGGUCCUCAGCCAAGGGUCCUUCUGACACCAGCAGCUGUGGGAGAUGCUCCUCCUGCUGGGGUGCAAAUGUGCACAAAAAUCCCUCUCUCUUAUCCGGCAGACUCUCUGCCUGUCCUUUAAGAUGGAGGCAGAACUCCUUAGGGACACAUCUUAUUUUGGGUGGCCAUCCUGAACCUUUCAGACACCUUCAGGAACCUCCGUGGUCCCCCAUUGUGACCACUUCCAGCACUCAGGAUACCACACCACAUCUUUGGGGUUCUCCAGUUGGUAGAACAGGAGCUCUCCUGGCUGGUCUCCUCUGAAACCUCUGCUGCUGGCAAUUUGCUGGGUGAAACGAGCCCGCACACCUAACUCCGCGUGAUGCAAAUAUCCAAGUAGGUAAAAGUUUGUAACUCGUUACCGAAACGCGGCUCUGAGCUGGGCAGGAGUGGCCCUGUCUGGGGACACUCGAUCCCGUGUGGCUGAUGGCCAAACCCUCUCCGCAGCAUGUUGUUACCCUGGCCAUCUCCUUUUCCCUCGUGUCUU